rnacentral:rRNA from 1 species
GUGGGGAAUCUUGCACAAUGGGGGAAACCCUGAUGCAGCGACGCCGCGUGAGCGAUGAAGCCCUUCGGGGUGUAAAGCUCUUUCGGCAGGGAAGAUUAUGACGGUACCUGCAAAAGCAGCUGCGGCUAACUACGUGCCAGCAGCCGCGGUAAUACGUAGGCAGCAAGCGUUGUUCGGAAUUACUGGGCGUAAAGGGUGCGUAGGCGGUUUUGCAAGUUUGGUGUGAAAUCUCCCGGCUUAACUGGGAGGGUGCGCCGAAAACUGCAAGGCUAGAGUGCGGGAGAGGAGAGUGGAAUUCCUGGUGUAGCGGUGAAAUGCGUAGAUAUCAGGAGGAACACCUGUGGUGUAGACGGCUCUCUGGACCGCAACUGACGCUGAUGCACGAAAGCGUGGGGAGCAAACAGGAUUAGAUACCCCAGUAGUCC